UGCGGGAGUGCCUUCGGGAACUCUGAGACAGGUGCUGCAUGGCUGUCGUCAGCUCGUGUUGUGAAAUGUUGGGUUAAGUCCCGCAACGAGCGCAACCCUUAUCCUUUGUUGCCAGCGGUUCGGCCGGGAACUCAAAGGAGACUGCCGGUGAUAAACCGGAGGAAGGUGGGGAUGACGUCAAGUCAUCAUGGCCCUUACGACCAGGGCUACACACGUGCUACAAUGGCGCAUACAAAGAGAAGCGACCUCGCGAGAGCAAGCGGACCUCAUAAAGUGCGUCGUAGUCCGGAUUGGAGUCUGCAACUCGACUCCAUGAAGUCGGAAUCGCUAGUAAUCGUGGAUCAGAAUGCCACGGUGAAUACGUUCCCGGGCCUUGUACACACCGCCCGUCACACCAUGGGAGUGGGUUGCAAAAGAAGUAGGUAGCUUAACCUUCGGGAGGGCGCUUACCACUUUGUGAUUCAUGACUGGGGUGAAGUCGUAACAAGGUAACCGUAGGGGAACCUGCGGUUGGAUCACCUCCU
rnacentral:rRNA from 1 species